UAGCCCGUGAGGCCUGUACGGGUCCCUCUGCAUCGGGUCGGAGCGAGGGGAAUAGGUGGGGGCAGCUCGGAGACCCGGCAGUCGGGGCCUGAGAGGGGCUUCCAGACCCUGCCCUCGAGGGUCAAGGAAGUCGGUCCGGCCGCCCUUCCGGGGGAGGCCUCUGUGCCCCAAGUUCUCUUUCUGCACUCCGGGGGACCCGGGUUAUGUCAGGUCCACGAGCUCAUCCCUCAUAUGACUGUGUGUCAGGAAAGAAGGGGAACAGAGCUCGUGACAGGCGCCGCCCCUCGGCCCAACCGGCCCCUGGGACCUGCCUCAGCUCUUUCGGGAGUUGACCCCUAAAGGAACCACACACUGAGCGAACACCUAGGCAGUGGGGUCGGGGUUUCUUGUAUUUUCAUGCCCUUCAGAGGCUCACAAUCAUCCUGUAAGAAGAAAAACUUCAUGUGUGUAUGGCAUGAUCAGUACAGAGAAUGUAAGAAUCUUUUCCCCUCCCCGACUUGCACUCUGUGUCUCUCUCUCUCUC